rnacentral:rRNA from 1 species
UACGAAGGGGGCUAGCGUUGCUCGGAAUCACUGGGCAUAAAGCGCACGUAGGCGGGUCGUUAAGUCAGGGGUGAAAUCCUGGAGCUCAACUCCAGAACUGCCCUUGAUACUGGCGAUCUCGAGUUCGGGAGAGGUGAGUGGAACUGCGAGUGUAGAGGUGAAAUUCGUAGAUAUUCGCAAGAACACCAGUGGCGAAGGCGGCUCACUGGCCCGAUACUGACGCUGAGGUGCGAAAGCGUGGGGAGCAAGCAGG